UCACCUCUAGCAUUACCAGUAUUAGAGGCACUGCCUGCCCAGUGACAUUAGUUAAACGGCCGCGGUAUCCUGACCGUGCAAAGGUAGCAUAAUCAUUUGUUCCUUAAUUAGGGACUUGUAUGAACGGCCCCACGAGGGUUUAACUGUCUCUUACUUUCAAUCAGUGAAAUUGACCUUCCCGUGAAGAGGCGGGAAUACAAAAAUAAGACGAGAAGACCCUAUGGAGCUUAAAUUAAUAUGUUCAACAGAAUUUAAUUAUAAUCCAAUAGGAAUAAAAAUAUUCUAACUGAACAAUAAAUUUUGGUUGGGGUGACCUCGGAGUAUAACAUAACCUCCGAGCAAUUAAACCAAGACUUACCAGUCAAGGCCAUAUAACUUAUUGAUCCAAUCUUAUUGAUCAACGAAACAAGUUACCCUAGGGAUAACAGCGCAAUCCUAUUUAAGAGUUCAUAUCGACAAUAGGGUUUACGACCUCGAUGUUGGAUCAGGACACCCAAAUGGUGCAGCAGCUAUUAAAGGUUCGUUUGUUCAACGAUUAAAUGUCCUUACGUG
rnacentral:rRNA from 1 species